rnacentral:rRNA from 1 species
ACGCUGGCGGCGUGCCUAAUACAUGCAAGUAGAACGCUGAAGAGAGGAGCUUGCUCUUCUUGGAUGAGUUGCGAACGGGUGAGUAACGCGUAGGUAACCUGCCUUGUAGCGGGGGAUAACUAUUGGAAACGAUAGCUAAUACCGCAUAACAAUGGGUGACACAUGUCAUUUAUUUGAAAGGGGCAAUUGCUCCACUACAAGAUGGACCUGCGUUGUAUUAGCUAGUAGGUGAGGUAACGGCUCACCUAGGCGACGAUACAUAGCCGACCUGAGAGGGUGAUCGGCCACACUGGGACUGAGACACGGCCCAGACUCCUACGGGAGGCAGCAGUAGGGAAUCUUCGGCAAUGGGGGCAACCCUGACCGAGCAACGCCGCGUGAGUGAAGAAGGUUUUCGGAUCGUAAAGCUCUGUUGUAAGUCAAGAACGAGUGUGAGAGUGGAAAGUUCACACUGUGACGGUAGCUUACCAGAAAGGGACGGCUAACUACGUGCCAGCAGCCGCGGUAAUACGUAGGUCCCGAGCGUUGUCCGGAUUUAUUGGGCGUAAAGCGAGCGCAGGCGGUUUGAUAAGUCUGAAGUUGAAGGCUGUGGCUCAACCAUAGUUCGCUUUGGAAACUGUCAAACUUGAGUGCAGAAGGGGAGAGUGGAAUUCCAUGUGUAGCGGUGAAAUGCGUAGAUAUAUGGAGGAACACCGGUGGCGAAAGCGGCUCUCUGGUCUGUAACUGACGCUGAGGCUCGAAAGCGUGGGGAGCGAACAGGAUUAGAUACCCUGGUAGUCCACGCCGUAAACGAUGAGUGCUAGGUGUUGGACCCUUUCCGGGAUCAGUGCCGCAGCUAACGCAUUAAGCACUCCGCCUGGGGGAGUACGACCGCAAGGUUGAAACUCAAAGGAAUUGACGGGGGCCCGCAC